AUUGAACGCUGGCGGCAGGCCUAACACAUGCAAGUCGAGCGGUAGCACAGGAGAGCUUGCUCUCUGGGUGACGAGCGGCGGACGGGUGAGUAAUGUCUGGGAAACUGCCUGAUGGAGGGGGAUAACUACUGGAAACGGUAGCUAAUACCGCAUAACGUCUUCGGACCAAAGUGGGGGACCUUCGGGCCUCACGCCAUCAGAUGUGCCCAGAUGGGAUUAGCUAGUAGGUGGGGUAAUGGCUCACCUAGGCGACGAUCCCUAGCUGGUCUGAGAGGAUGACCAGCCACACUGGAACUGAGACACGGUCCAGACUCCUACGGGAGGCAGCAGUGGGGAAUAUUGCACAAUGGGCGCAAGCCUGAUGCAGCCAUGCCGCGUGUGUGAAGAAGGCCUUCGGGUUGUAAAGCACUUUCAGCGAGGAGGAAGGGUUCAGUGUUAAUAGCACUGUUCAUUGACGUUACUCGCAGAAGAAGCACCGGCUAACUCCGUGCCAGCAGCCGCGGUAAUACGGAGGGUGCAAGCGUUAAUCGGAAUUACUGGGCGUAAAGCGCACGCAG
rnacentral:rRNA from 1 species